UCCUAUUCAGGCAAGGUACAG
rnacentral:piRNA from 1 species